AGCAGCCGCGGUAAUUCCAGCUCCAAUAGCGUAUAUUAAAGUUGUUGCAGUUAAAAAGCUCGUAGUUGAAUUUCGGGGUCAGUAGGUUGGUCGUGCCACCGGUACGUACUGGUCUCACUGAUUCCUCCUUCCUGAUGAGCUGUAAUGCCAUUAAUUUGGUGUUGCAGGGAAUCUGGACUGUUACUUUGAAAAAAUUAGAGUGUUUAAAGCAGGCUAACGCUUGAAUACAUUAGCAUGGAAUAAUGAAAUAGGACGUUCGAUCCUAUUUUGUUGGUUUCUAGGAUUGACGUAAUGAUUAAUAGGGAUAGUUGGGGGCAUUAGUAUUCAAUUGUCAGAGGUGAAAUUCUUGGAUUUAUUGAAGACUAACUACUGCGAAAGCAUUUGCCAAGGAUGUUUUCAUUAAUCAAGAACGAAAGUUAGGGGAUCGAAGACGAUCAGAUACCGUCGUAGUCUUAACCAUAAACUAUGCCGACUAGGGAUCGGAUGAUGUUAAUUUUUUAAUGUACUCA
rnacentral:rRNA from 1 species